rnacentral:rRNA from 1 species
AUUGAACGCUGGCGGCAGGCCUAACACAUGCAAGUCGAACGGUAACAGGAAGAAGCUUGCUUCUUUGCUGACGAGUGGCGGACGGGUGAGUAAUGUCUGGGAAACUGCCUGAUGGAGGGGGAUAACUACUGGAAACGGUAGCUAAUACCGCAUAACGUCGCAAGACCAAAAAGGGGGACCUUCGGGCCUCUUGCCAUCGGAUGUGCCCAGAUGGGAUUAGCUAGUAGGUGGGGUAACGGCUCACCUAGGCGACGAUCCCUAGCUGGUCUGAGAGGAUGACCAUCCACACGGGAACUGAGACACGGUCCAGACUCCUACGGGAGGCAGCAGUGGGGAAUAUUGCACAAUGGGCGCAAGCCUGAUGCAGCCAUGCCGCGUGUAUGAAGAAGGCCUUCGGGUUGUAAAGUACUUUCAGCGGGGAGGAAGGGAGUAAAGUUAAUACCUUUGCUCAUUGACGUUACCCGCAGAAGAAGCACCGGCUAACUCCGUG